rnacentral:tRNA from 1 species
GGGGAUAUAGCUCAGUUGGUAGAGUGCUUGCCUUGUAUGCAUAAGGCCCUAGGUUCAAUUCCUAGCAACAACA